AGCAGCCGCGGUAAUUCCAGCUCCAAUAGCGUAUAUUAAAGUUGUUGCAGUUAAAAAGCUCGUAGUUGAAUUUCGGGAUCAAAUUGUUGGUCGUGCCUCGGUACGCACUGGUAUUAUUGGUUCCUACCUUCUGAAGAACCGCGAUGUCAUUAAUUUGGUGUCGUGGGGAAUCAGGACUGUUACUUUGAAAAAAUUAGAGUGUUUAAAGCAGGCUUACGCUUGAAUACAUUAGCAUGGAAUAAUGAAAUAGGACGUUUGAUUCUAUUUUGUUGGUUUCUAGGAUUGACGUAAUGAUUAAUAGGGAUAGUUGGGGGCAUUAGUAUUCAAUUGUCAGAGGUGAAAUUCUUGGAUUUAUUGAAGACUAACUACUGCGAAAGCAUUUGCCAAGGAUGUUUUCAUUAAUCAAGAACGAAAGUUAGGGGAUCGAAGACGAUCAGAUACCGUCGUAGUCUUAACCAUAAACUAUGCCGACUAGGGAUCGGAUGAUGUUAAUUUUUAAUGACUCAUUCGGCGCCUUAAC
rnacentral:rRNA from 1 species